rnacentral:rRNA from 1 species
UGAGUCGAACGAGAAAGUGGCUUCGGUCAUGAGUAAAGUGGCAGACGGGUGAGUAAUACAUAGGUAACCUACCUUUAAGCUGGGGAUAACCUUCCGAAAGGAGGGCUAAUACCGAAUGAGACCACAGUUACUACGGUAACAGGGGUCAAAGAUGGCCUCUACUUGUACGCUAUCACUUAGAGAUGGGCUUAUGCACCAUUAGCCUGUUGGUGAGGUAACGGCUCACCAAAGCUAUGAUGGUUAACUGAUCUGAGAGGUUGAUCAGUCACACUGGAACUGAGACACGGUCCAGACUCCUACGGGAGGCAGCAGUAGGGAAUAUUGCGCAAUGGAGGAAACUCUGACGCAGCGACGCCGCGUGGGUGAUGAAGGCUUUCGGGUCGUAAAGCCCUGUCGGAAGGGAAGAAAAAUAUUAUGGCUAAUAUCCAUAGUACUUGACGGUACCUUCAAAGGAAGCACCGGCUAACUACGUGCCAGCGGCCGCGGUAAUACGUAGGGUGCAAGCGUUGUUCGGAAUCAUUGGGCGUAAAGCGCGUGUAGGUGGUUAAGUAAGUCAGAUGUGAAAGCCCUCGGCUCAACCGGGGAAGUGCAUCUGAAACUACAUAGCUAGAGGACGGUAGAGGAAGUGGAAUUCCUAGUGUAGAGGUGAAAUUCGUAGAUAUUAGAGGAAUACCGGCGGCGACGGCCUUCUGGGCCGUUCCUGACACUGAGACGCGAAAGCGUGGGGAGCAAACAGAUUAAUACCCUGGUAGUCCACGCUGUAAACGAUGGUACUAGUGUUGCAGAAUGACCCCUGGGCCGAGCUAACGCAUUAAGUACCCCCUGGGAGUACGGUCGCAAUAAA